ensembl:lincRNA
AUGGGAAACACCUCUGGGUUGAUCUGCUUCAGUGCAGCGUCAGGACAGCAGCUCCAGGCCUCAGAACACAACAUCUUGUUCCUGACCAGAAUGGAGAAAGUCACUUACUGUGAGACGUGUGAUGCUGCAGACGGGCCUCGAGGAGGAGUGUGUGAGCACUCUUUAGCUGCAGCUUUGAGACCAGGAGUCAUCAUGCAUUUCUCUGAUGUGCUCUUUAUUUGGAUUGUGGCAUUGGGAACAUCUGAACUGAGCUCUGCAGGACCUCUUCAUGCACAGUGCAAAGUCGAGUGGUACUUCAGUCUGCCUUGCAGGAGUGUGUCUGAAUCUCUGGUCACACAGAUCAAGAAGUGGAGAACAUUCUCAACGUGCGCCACAGGAGGAGAGAAAUGUCUCUACAAGUUGCAGUCAGCAUCGACGCACUUCAUUUCCGCCAAACACACAACGCCAGUGAAGAAAUAUGUUGAUGACAUCAACUUCAGACUCACCUCCUAUGGGUUUUUUACACACUGUCAUGUAUCUGCCAUGUCAGUGUCAGAGACCUGGUAUGCCAUCACUGAUCACGGCACUAACUACUGUAACCUUUACAAUUUGAUUGAAGGUAAAACUGGUUCAAAAAUUAAUAUCAGAUUGCUUUUGAUUAACAUGGCAUGAAUGUGCUGAGUCUUAUUGUGUGUGUGUGUGUGUGUGUGUGUGUGUGUGCGUGCGUGCGUGCGUGCGUGCGUGCGUGCGUGCGUGCGUGCGUGCGUGUGUGUGUGUGUGUGUGUGUGUGCGUGCGUGUGUGUGUGUGUGUGUGUGUGUGUGUGCAGGAAGUGGAUUGACUGAAGCUCCAGGAUAUAAAGAAAUCACCAGUGACUUCCUGUGCACUCAGCGCUCAUCUGCUAACUGUACCAUUUACUGAGACAUCUUUAUAUAUAUUUUAAAAUCAUUUCUGGAUGUUUGUACCUGUAGUCUAGUAGAAUUAGAAAUAAGGUCAUGACAAUAGUCAUACAAUUGAAAAUAAAAGUACUUUUAAUCAACCUACGGUUUGUAAAAAUAAAAUGAGUCUGUUCUAAAUGUGCUUUACUGUACAUGUACACACAUAAAGCAUUCGUUGCAUUAUUCAUUUAUAUUCCUUAGCUUAGUCCCUUUGUUAAUCUGGGGUCGCCACAGUGGAAUGAACCGCCAACUUAUCCAGCAUAUUUCUUAUACAGCGGCUGCCCUGCAGCUGCAACCUAGUACUUGGAAACCCCCCAUACACACUCAUCCACACACAUACAGUACGGCCAAUUUAGUUUAUUCAAUUCACCUAUAGCGCAUGUCUUUGAGCUGUGGGGGAAACUGGAGGAAACCCAUGGUGACACGGGGAGAUUUGUUGCAUUAAUAUUGCAUAUAUACAUUUUUUUACAGUACAUUUAAUUAAAUAAAUGUGUCUUUGGUAAACGCAAGACUCUGAUUAAUAAGAUGACAAAUAUUUACCUGUUGAAGAGUUGUGUUUAUUUGUGUUAUUUUAGUAGAACACGUCUACUUUUUAUUUUAAUGUUGUAGCAAAGAUUGUGGAGCAAAUCUAUAACUGACAAUGAACAAACUGUUUAUUAACUAUAAAAAGAUUAAUGAAUACUGUAACAAAUGUGUUAUUAUCAAUGUUAAUAUGUUAGUUAAUGAUGGGUAAUGAUGGUAAUUGAUAAAUAUUAAAUAAAAUAUACGAAAUCCUGGAUUUCACUGUCAAAUUAUUUUAAUAAAAAUUUUAAAUUUUACUUAAAAAAAAUAUUAUCUUGGUGAUAUAAACAAACAUUAUAUGAUACAAUUACUCCUCUUAAUCUUUUAAUUUGUCACAUCCUUCAAUAGAAAAUACAGGAAACUGCCCUCGUCUUAUUUGAGUAUUUAAUCGUCUUCCUUUAUUUACUUACAGUACUGAACUUAUAAUGGCUCAUGAAUCAAAGUAUCUUCCAAUGUUUCCCCUUUUGUACCACUCCAGAAGACUAGACUUUUGUGCUUUUGCUCUAUAUUUUUCUCCUCAUUCAGUUCGGAUGACUGUGACAUUUCAUAUGCUGUUCUUAGCACAAUGUUUGGAGACAAAUAUAGCAGUUCUCAGUGGUGUUAUGCACGGACAUUGUUCUCUCUAAGGGCAGCAAUAUGCUCGGAAGGGUGAAGACAUCCAUCAUGGUUGUCUUUUAC